rnacentral:rRNA from 1 species
GACGAACGCUGGCGGCGUGCUUAACACAUGCAAGUCGAACGGUAAGGCCUUCGGGUACACGAGUGGCGAACGGGUGAGUAACACGUGGGUGAUCUGCCCCCUACUCUGGGAUAAGCCUGGGAAACUGGGUCUAAUACCGGAUAUGACCUCCUUCUGCAUGGUUGGUGGUGGAAAGUUUUUUCGGUAGGGGAUGAGCCCGCGGCCUAUCAGCUAGUUGGUGAGGUAACGGCUCACCAAGGCGACGACGGGUAGCCGGCCUGAGAGGGUGACCGGCCACUGGGACUGAGACACGGCCCAGACUCCUACGGGAGGCAGCAGUGGGGAAUAUUGCACAAUGGGCGCAAGCCUGAUGCAGCAACGCCGCGUGAGGGACGACGGCCUUCGGGUUGUAAACCUCUUUCACCAGGGACGAAGCGGAAGUGACGGUACCUGGAGAAGAAGCACCGGCCAACUACGUGCCAGCCGCCGCGGUAACAC